CAAAAACAUCGCCUUUUGACAAACUAUAAAAGGUCAAGCCUGCCCAGUGACAUUGUUCAACGGCCGCGGUAUCCUAACCGUGCGAAGGUAGCGUAAUCACUUGUUCUUUAAAUGAGGACUAGUAUGAACGGCUUCACGAAAGCUAUACUGUCUCCUUUAUCUAAUCAGUUAAACUAAUCUCCCCGUGAAGAAGCGGGGAUGCCCAUAUAAGACGAGAAGACCCUAUGGAGCUUUAAACAUCUCUAGACAUUUGAACAUUCACAAUUUUAAGCCUCACUAAAUUCAUCAUUUUGUCUUAAGUUUUAGGUUGGGGUGACCGCGGAGAAAAAACCAACCUCCACAUAGAAAGAACCUCCCUUCUAAGCAAAAAGCCACAUCUUUAUGCAUCAACACAUUGACCUUAAUUGACCCAAUUACUUGAUCAACGAACCAAGUUACCCUAGGGAUAACAGCGCAAUCCGCUUUGAGAGCUCCUAUCGACAAGCGGGCUUACGACCUCGAUGUUGGAUCAGGGCAUCCUAGUGGUGCAGCAGCUACUAAUGGUUCG
rnacentral:rRNA from 1 species